rnacentral:rRNA from 1 species
CCCUUAGAUGUUCUGGGCCGCACGCGCGCUACACUGAUGCAUUCAACGAGUUCCUACCUUGGCCGAGAGGCCUGGGCAAUCUCUUGAACUUGCAUCGUGAUAGGGAUAGAUUAUUGCAAUUAUUAAUCUUGAACGAGGAAUUCCUAGUAAACGCAGAUCAUCAAUCUGCAUUGAUUACGUCCCUGCCCUUUGUACACACCGCCCGUCGCACCUACCGAUUGAAUGACUCGGUGAAAAAUUGGGACUGUGAUUGAAAUUGCUUCAUUGCGAAUUUAAUCAUGGAAACUUUCUUUAACCUAGGCAUUUAGAGGAAGGUGAAGUCGUAACA